AUCGUUUAUUUGAUAGUACCUUACUACUUGGAUAACCGUGGUAAUUCUAGAGCUAAUACAUGCUGAAAACCUCGACUUCGGAAGGGGUGUAUUUAUUAGAUAAAAGACCAAUGCCCUUCGGGGCUCCUUGGUGAUUCAUAAUAACUCAACGAAUCGCAUGGCCUUGUGCCGGCGAUGGUUCAUUCAAAUUUCUGCCCUAUCAACUUUCGAUGGUAGGAUAGUGGCCUACCAUGGUGGCAACGGGUAACGGGGAAUUAGGGUUCGACUCCGGAGAGGGAGCCUGAGAAACGGCUACCACAUCCAAGGAAGGCAGCAGGCGCGCAAAUUACCCAAUCCCGACUCGGGGAGGUAGUGACAAUACAUACUGAUGCAGAGCUCUUUAGGGUUUUGCAAUUGGAAUGAGUACAAUUUAAAUCCCUUAACGAGGAACAAUUGGAGGGCAAGUCUGGUGGACUAGAUUCCAAUGCUGGCACCAGAGAUGGGGGGAAACUGUUAUUAAAGUGGCAGUUGCCCCCCAGUCCGUCGUCAAUCUCGGUUGACCACGGGCGAGGUAACCUGGCUCGGGGAAAACGCACGGGCGCUCGGAGCGCCCUUGGUCACCCCGCGGUGAGUCUUGACCGACCAUCGUAACGCGCGCAAAGGUGCCGGCCCCUUUUGUACAUCAAAAGCGGCUCAUGGGACGUGCUAUUCCCAUUGUUACAAAUGCUCCGGCCCGAGUGGAAUCCCGCGAAGGCUUAGGGGGAAACCGUGCUACUGCAUGGUUUGGAAUACGAGGCCAGCAGCCGCGGUAAUUCCAGCUCCAAUAGCGUAUAUUAAAGUUGUUGCAGUUAAAAAGCUCGUAGUUG
rnacentral:rRNA from 1 species